rnacentral:rRNA from 1 species
GAUGAACGCUGGCGGCGUGCCUAAUACAUGCAAGUCGAGCGAACGGACGAGAAGCUUGCUUCUCUGAUGUUAGCGGCGGACGGGUGAGUAACACGUGGAUAACCUACCUAUAAGACUGGGAUAACUUCGGGAAACCGGAGCUAAUACCGGAUGAUAUUUUGAACCGCAUGGUUCAAAAGUGAAAGACGGUCUUGCUGUCACUUAUAGAUGGAUCCGCGCUGCAUUAGCUAGUUGGUAAGGUAACGGCUUACCAAGGCAACGAUGCAUAGCCGACCUGAGAGGGUGAUCGGCCACACUGGAACUGAGACACGGUCCAGACUCCUACGGGAGGCAGCAGUAGGGAAUCUUCCGCAAUGGGCGAAAGCCUGACGGAGCAACGCCGCGUGAGUGAUGAAGGUCGUCGGAUCGUAAAACUCUGUUAUUAGGGAAGAACAUAUGUGUAAGUAACUGUGCACAUCUUGACGGUACCUAAUCAGAAAGCCACGGCUAACUACG